AUGGCUCAGUGGUAGAGCGUUAGUCUGAAGAUCAAUCGGAGCGGGUUCGAAUCCCGGU
rnacentral:tRNA from 1 species